AUAAAAGUCACCUGGGAACCUUGGUGAAAGGUAGAUUCUAAUUCAGUAGGUCUUGAUUUGGCCUGAAAUUCUGCAUCUCUGACAAAACCCCAGGUAAUGUCAUG
rnacentral:pre_miRNA from 1 species